UUUCCAUUUCUUUUCCCUGCACGCCAUGCCGGCGAAGUUCCUUUGCCGGUCGUUUUGGACCGUUGAGGUCAACGGGCCGUUAAAGGAAAGGGAAAAGCCCAAACGGAGAUGAUAUUAUUAUGGGGAUGGAAUUGAACUCAUUGGGUUGAGUGCUUCGAAGGAAAGGAGCGUUCCCGCCGAUCCUAUAUCGAAAACUGAAACACCCGAAUGAAGUCCCUUCUCCAAGUCAGGCUGGAGGAAGUCAGGAAUGCGGGAGCCCUUGGGGAAAAUUAGUCGGGCCCUGCGAUGAGGUUUUGUACACCAACAUGCAGGGAGGACAUAAUGACGACUCCGGACUUGGCUCCGAACCGGGACAGCUGUGGUUGGAAGAUGCGUUGCGUAAAAAAGUAGGAAGACGGAAGGCGAGCGAACCGGAGGCGUCGAGAGACAAAUGCUAUUGAACUUUUCUCUACAAGGUAGGACUACUUGCAUACAAUUUCCUGGGAUUCAUUCACCUGUGGUUUUUUUUUCUUCUUCUAAAAAUAUACAGAGGAUCUGUAUUACUGGAAAUUACUGGAAAUAAAAGGCCUCCAGGACUUCUAAGGCCAUGACUACAUCCUAAGAUGCAAAAUAUAAGGUUACUCUGAAAUGACUAAGCUCAAUGAUCCAUUGAAAAACCAUAAUGAACAAAACAAGUUGAACUGAAUGUAGAGACUUGUAAUUUUAUUCGGUCCUCCAGUGAUAAAGCUAGAACAAUUUACUUAUGAAUAUUAACUCAGUGAAGCACAAUACCAUACAGAGUAGACUAUUUUUAAUAGAUCUGAACAUUCCUGAACAAUAGCUUUAUCUUUUCAAUAUUCAGUUUCAGUUAUUGGUACUCAUUUGACUCAUUAUUGUCUUUAGACACUAUUGUCUACUUUUACAUACAUAUGAGAUCUUCUGUGUAACAAUGUUAAGAAUUAGUCCUUUCCCCAUGCUUGAGUCUUGAGUCUCCUUAUACUUUGAAAAAUAAAUUUAUGGUACCACUUCAGAGUGAUAGUAGUCUUUUUCAAAAUGUUGCCCAAUAUAAAUAAAAAGCAAGCACUGUAGCAUUAAUAACAAUCUAAAAAAUAACAAGAUUUACAUCUUGCAAAUUGAAGUUGAAAUAAUUUGAAAGAAAAUGCCAGCCAAUAAUAAUUACAGCUCCUGGAGCCAUACUAAAGAGAUUCAUAUUACAUAUUUGAAAAGUUCAGAUUUACUUGACCAUUGACUUGAAAAAACAAAACUUCUAUAGUCCUCAGUUCCUGACUCUUGGCUAGAAACUGAAUUUCUAGAAAAUAAAUUACAAAAUUAUAUUUUGCAUGAAUUAAAUGUUGGAUUAUUAAAUGAUGACGAUGAUGUCUUGUUUAUAUCUUUUGCAAUUAAAAAAAUAUGUUAGCUGAUCCAAGUGUACAGUUGAGACAGACCAAUGGAUACAAACAAACAAAAUCACUAACAAACAUAAUGUGAUAUCAAUCAAAUGAACGAAUUAAUUUUGUUUCAUGGAGAAAUGUUUACAACAACCAGGUCCACACUCAGUGUUAUUAUAUCUGCAGAUUUGAGGAUAUCACUCAAAACUAGUACCCAAUUUACUUUCUUUAAACUGUUUGCCUAUGCAUAUCUGUAGAAUGGGAAUAAUACAGAAUUAAUGAAGGUGGAUACUGUUCAUAAAUGCUAUUAAUAGAGUGAUAAAAGGAACAAAACACUGCCAACCAAAUACAGUAUGUCUUAUUUGAAAUUUAAAAGAAGUGUAAUUCAGGUUAAUAUUUUGCUUGGUUUAUAAAACAAGAAGUGACAUAACACUGGCUGACAUAACUGUAGCUGCAAUGAAUCACUAUUUUAUUUUCCUAUUGUCAAAUAUUUAAUAAUUUAUAUUACUAGUGCAGCCAAAGCACUUUGCACAUGCCUCAAUAUACUGCUACCAUUAUUAUUUUAUGAAUUCUUCUAAUACAAGAAUCAUUAUCUCAGAGUGAAAAAUGGUUUCGAGGCCAAGUCAUGGAGAUUCUUAAUCAAAGGUAAACUCUGUGUAAGUGUUAAAUUUGUAGUCAAAAGAAGGCUCUUUGAUUAUGCCAUCCCGUUCCAUAAUUUAUGAAGUCAUUUGGAUCAGACAUAAACAUAAGAGAGUUAUCUUGUCUCUGACACAGAAUGUGAAAAUGUUGUUCUAAUAAAUCAGUGUAACCUUGA